AACGUUUUCGAGAGUUAAUUAACGGCCGGACAACAGCGCGUCGCAUCGCGCUUGCCAUCUAUUGGAAGAAAAAGGAUACACCGGAAUAUAGCAAUUUACUUAUCUCCUCUCCCCCCCACCGACUCGACGCGAGUCUCGACUCGUAUUUCUCAUGCUAAUUAAACUCGUGGCCGUACGACGGUUAUAAAACGUAUAUAAUCGCGGUUUUUCCUUUUGAACGUAACGAGAAAUUGAAAUAGAAACGCCGAAGGCGAUCGAUCCUAACGAUUCCUUAAUUAAUUAACUAAAUUAAACGGAUUUGAAAAGCAAGUGUUUCGCGGUUCGUUACACGUAACCGGCGUGUUUCCCCGAUCCCAUAUAAUGACAGAUAAAGAAACACACCGCUAUCGUGCGGUAUCCAAUUUCAAUUACCGAGUAGCACUUAAUACUUUGCUUACGUGUAAUAAAGCCACGAUGCCGGGGGGAAAAGUAUAAAUAUACUUGGGACUAAAGUGAUACCGGCGGGCAAGCGGUUUCGUCAGUUUAUUUAUUCUCAGGUCAAGGGAACGCCAUUUCUUAAACACGAAGGUCAAGAAGUCAAUGAGAUCCGGUUGCUCAGGUGGUUGGGAUUUGUGAAUGGAGGAAAGGGGAUGCUAUUGGAGGGGGGCAAGCAAGCGUCGUUUGGAAGAAUGGCGAGGUCGAUGGUUUGAGAUUGUGCUGUUGCAUGCAUAAAGUUUGGUAGCGAAUUCUUAUGAAAUGUUGCAUCUAUCCGGUAUACAAUGAUUGCGAAAAUAUAAUUAUAAGUUACAAAGCUUAUAUGACAUAGGAAAUACGUAUGCAAUUUAUUACUUGGUAAUAUAAUUCUUGGAAAAGUAAAACUAAA